ACUUUAAACUAUGAUUCCAAUAAAAGCAAAUGAAAAAUUAUUCACUGCAUGUUAUGGCUUGCUUUAUUGCUACUAAAAUGUAAGUUAUAUGCACAAAGAUAGAACCCAGGCAAAAAAGUCACCUGCAAAUUGAAUAUGAUGCUGACUGCAAGUUUAAUAUGGUACAGAUAAUUUUGUGCUUGGUGUGCUUAUAAUGCUAUAUGACUCUAGGGCACAUAUCAUUGGAAAAUAUUCUUAUAGGUAGUGUUAUUCAACGGGAAAAAAAUUAAGGGUCAGGAUCAUAUUCAAUUUUCAGGACUGCUUUGAGGAGUAGAAACAGGAAUCAUCUGAAGGCUCAUUCAUUCAAGUAUCUGGUCCUUGGCGAGGAGGACUGGAAAACCAAGACUGUCAGCCAGAGUGCCUAUACUUGGCCUCAACAUGUGGCUUGCCUUCAUAAUAGCAUGGCAGCCUCGGGGCACGUGCUGGCUCAGGACUCCAAAAGCAUGAGUUCUAAUGAGGUAGAAACCAUGGCAUGUAGUCGAACUCUUUCAUUCACAGAUUAAAAAAGAUCUAGGGACCUUAAGCAAAUCCACUUCUGGUAAAGAAACAAAAUGGUUUUUUUAAUAUUCAUAGGUGGAUGGAUAGAUAUAUCAAGUAAUCAGACGAGGCAAACCUGCAGACUCCAAGGCGGAAGAGAAGGACACAGGAAUCAAUGGUCAUGUUCAGGCCAGGGUCCAAUUAGGAGGGCAGAGGAGCAGGUUCCAAUUAGGAAGCCAGGUUGGAGCAGUUCUGAACAGUCAGCCACUGGAGAGGGGGUCUGAGAAAAGGAGGAGAGGCUUAGUGUUCAGGUUUGCUUCUGUUCUGUUAUUCCUGUAGGAGCACUGUCACCUAUGGCCUACAAAACCUAAAAUAAUCUAGAUUUUUAUGGAAGAAUGAGUUAUGUAAGGCAAGGAAGCGCUACCCAUCCAGAAAGGGAAAGUUUAGCUAGACAGACGAGAACCAGUACUCUCUAAGCUAAGCAGGCCCGUUUUAUUUCAGGCAAACGUUAGCCCUGAAAUUUUCUGGGGUGAAAAGUAUGGUCUCAAGUAGUGUGCAGAGAAUAUAUCUGAAAAGUACCUAGAAUCAGAAAAAUGCAUAGCUAUCGCUACGCGAUACCUGUCCACAGGCAGAAGCACCUAACUUUGGAACUGUUUUUCUGGGUUAGACUCCAUCUCUUGUGCAGGAGGAAGCUCAAGUUAGAGGGUGUUGCAAAGAUGAAAACAGAAGCCUCAACCAAAGAGCAAGUACUACUUCUACUUCUUAUGACCCAGGUGAGUUAAACAAAGAAAAAAAUGAUACUACAAAGGUAAUUUAAAUCAUAAGAGAUUUGUAUGUCAUGCUAAACAGUAAAAUUUGGCUGUUUGACAAACCACCUCUAAUUUAGCGAUGUAAGAUGACAACCAUUUUAUUAUUCUCAUGAAUUCUGUGGGUCAGGAAUUUGGAAAAGUGAUGGCAUGGAAGGCUUGACUCUGCUCCGUAAUGUCUGGGGCUUCAGCUGGGAAGAUUCAAAAGCAAGAGCUGCCUUUAAAUGAUGAAAUCUGGCAAGUGAUGAUGGAGAAAGAGGGAAAAGUUGAAUCUCUUUAGUUAAGAACUGUAAAAGGAGAAAACACUGAUGAGUUUUAAGCAGAGAAGUGAGAUCCUCACAUUUGCCUUUAAAAAAGCUCCCUGGUUGCUGCUGUAUAGAAAAUAGCCCAGAGCAGCACAAGAAUGUAAUUGGUUUCUGCUAAUAUGCUUCCGAGAAUUAAAAAAAGCAAAACCAAAAAAA